UAGGGAAUAUUGCACAAUGGGCGAAAGCCUGAUGCAGCAACGCCGCGUGCGCGAUGAAGGCCUUCGGGUCGUAAAGCGCUUUUCGGGGGGAUGAGGAAGGACAGUACCCCCGGAAUAAGUCUCGGCUAACUACGUGCCAGCAGCCGCGGUAAAACGUAGGAGGCAAGCGUUAUCCGGAUUCACUGGGCGUAAAGCGCAUGUAGGCGGUCCGGUAAGUCGGACGUGAAAGCUCCUGGCUCAACUGGGAGAGGCCGUUCGAAACUACCGGACUUGAGGGCAGUAGAGGGAGGUGGAAUUCCGGGUGUAGCGGUGAAAUGCGUAGAUAUCCGGAGGAACACCAGUGGCGAAGGCGGCCUCCUGGACUGCUCCUGACGCUCAGAUGCGAAAGCUAGGGGAGCGAACGGGAUUAGAAACCCCGGUAGUCCUAGCUGUAAACGAUGCGGACUUGGUGUUGGUGGCUUAAACUCCAUCAGUGCCGAAGCUAACGCGUUAAGUCCGCCGCCUGGGGACUACGGCCGCAAGGCUA
rnacentral:rRNA from 1 species